ensembl:lncRNA
CCAAUAAUUGCAAGAGUUUUGUCUGCAAAUAUAUUUGUUAAUUAAAUUUUUUUUCCCAUAUUUAGGAUCCUGGAAAUGAAUAAGAGGGAAAUUUAUUGGAGAACUUUAUUUGGACUGGAGGACCCAUUUGUGCAAGUGCAUUCCUUAUUAAUAGGUCUUUGUUCUUGCUGUAACCCUCAGCCAGGCUGUCUCUGGCAGAAGAAUACACUUCAUCAAAAGUGUCUGCAGGUUGUCAAACUCAGGGAGGUUUGGGGACCCUCUGAGGCUGUCAUGGUCAACAAGAAGAUUUUCUGUCGGGCUUUGCCAUCACUCACCCCGAGGAAAUAAUCACUCACUACAUUCUGCAUGUUCUCAUGAUAGAGCUCUCCAUUUGAGAGAAAAGAGCCAUUUUAUCAAAGGACAAUAUAGCCCUUCUCUGGGUCCACGUAGCUUCCAUUAUCAGACCAUAAUAAAUCAUAUUUAUGUUCUCA